rnacentral:misc_RNA from 1 species
UCUCCGUUGGUGAACCAGCGGAGGGAUCAUUACCGAGUUUACAACUCCCAAACCCCUGUGAACAUACCUAUCGUUGCCUCGGCGGUGCCCGCUCCGGCGGCCCGCCAGAGGACCCCCAAACUCUUGUUUUAUACAGUAUCUUCUGAGUAACACGAUUAAAUAAAUCAAAACUUUCAACAACGGAUCUCUUGGUUCUGACAUCGAUGAAGAACGCAGC